CGGAGGGGCUAGCGUUGUUCGGAAUUACUGGGCGUAAAGCGCGCGUAGGCGGAUGUUCAAGUCGGGGUGAAAUCCCGGGGCUCAACCCCGGAACUGCCUCCGAUACUGGACGUCUGGAGGACGGGAGAGGCGAGUGGAAUGCCGAGUGUAGAGGUGAAAUUCGUAGAUAUUCGGCGGAACACCCGUGGCGAAGGCGGCUCGCUGGUCCGUUUCUGACGCUGAGGCGCGAAAGCGUGGGGAGCAAACAGGAUU
rnacentral:rRNA from 1 species